AUCGCUUCUCGGCCUUUUGGUUAAGCUCAAGUGUAGUAUCUGUUCUUAUCAGUUGCCAGUAGAGGGCGCUAUGCUAACCGUCCUUAGUACACGGCGAGGUGGGAAGGGAUUAAAGUGGAGGUUCACCCUAAAAACAAUUUUUUUACAUUAAAAAGUACAAUAGUAAGUACAUUUCAUUUCGGAAGUUUUU